rnacentral:rRNA from 1 species
GAUGAACGCUAGCUACAGGCUUAACACAUGCAAGUCGAGGGGAAACGACAUCGGAAGCUUGCUUUUGAUGGGCGUCGACCGGCGCACGGGUGAGUAACGCGUAUCCAACCUGCCCAUCACUUGGGAAUAACCUUGCGAAAGUAAGACUAAUACCCAAUGACAUCCCACGAAGACAUCUGAAUGGGAUUAAAGAUUUAUCGGUGAUGGAUGGGGAUGCGUCUGAUUAGCUUGUUGGCGGGGUAACGGCCCACCAAGGCAACGAUCAGUAGGGGUUCUGAGAGGAAGGUCCCCCACAUUGGAACUGAGACACGGUCCAAACUCCUACGGGAGGCAGCAGUGAGGAAUAUUGGUCAAUGGGCGAGAGCCUGAACCAGCCAAGUAGCGUGCAGGAUGACGGCCCUAUGGGUUGUAAACUGCUUUUAUAAGGGAAUAAAGUGGGUCUCGUGAGACUUUUUGCAUGUACCUUAUGAAUAAGGACCGGCUAAUUCCGUG